rnacentral:rRNA from 1 species
GUUAAGCGACUAAGCGUACACGGUGGAUGCCCUGGCAGUCAGAGGCGAUGAAGGACGUGCUAAUCUGCGAUAAGCGUCGGUAAGGUGAUAUGAACCGUUAUAACCGGCGAUUUCCGAAUGGGGAAACCCAGUGUGAUUCGUCACACUAUCAUUAACUGAAUCCAUAGGUUAAUGAGGCGAACCGGGGGAACUGAAACAUCUAAGUACCCCGAGGAAAAGAAAUCAACCGAGAUUCCCCCAGUAGCGGCGAGCGAACGGGGAGCAGCCCAGAGCCUGAAUCAGUGUGUGUGUUAGUGGAAGCGUCUGGAAAGGCGCGCGAUACAGGGUGACAGCCCCGUACACAAAAAUGCACAUGCUGUGAGCUCGAUGAGUAGGGCGGGACACGUGGUAUCCUGUCUGAAUAUGGGGGGACCAUCCUCCAAGGCUAAAUACUCCUGACUGACCGAUAGUGAACCAGUACCGUGAGGGAAAGGCGAAAAGAACCCCGGCGAGGGGAGUGAAAAAGAACCUGAAACCGUGUACGUACAAGCAGUGGGAGCACGCUUAGGCGUGUGACUGCGUACCUUUUGUAUAAUGGGUCAGCGACUUAUAUUCUGUAGCAAGGUUAACCGAAUAGGGGAGCCGAAGGGAAACCGAGUCUUAACUGGGCGUUAAGUUGCAGGGUAUAGACCCGAAACCCGGUGAUCUAGCCAUGGGCAGGUUGAAGGUUGGGUAACACUAACUGGAGGACCGAACCGACUAAUGUUGAAAAAUUAGCGGAUGACUUGUGGCUGGGGGUGAAAGGCCAAUCAAACCGGGAGAUAGCUGGUUCUCCCCGAAAGCUAUUUAGGUAGCGCCUCGUGAAUUCAUCUCCGGGGGUAGAGCACUGUUUCGGCAAGGGGGUCAUCCCGACUUACCAACCCGAUGCAAACUGCGAAUACCGGAGAAUGUUAUCACGGGAGACACACGGCGGGUGCUAACGUCCGUCGUGAAGAGGGAAACAACCCAGACCGCCAGCUAAGGUCCCAAAGUCAUGGUUAAGUGGGAAACGAUGUGGGAAGGCCCAGACAGCCAGGAUGUUGGCUUAGAAGCAGCCAUCAUUUAAAGAAAGCGUAAUAGCUCACUGGUCGAGUCGGCCUGCGCGGAAGAUGUAACGGGGCUAAACCAUGCACCGAAGCUGCGGCAGCGACGCUGAUGCGUUGUUGGGUAGGGGAGCGUUCUGUAAGCCUGCGAAGGUGUGCUGUGAGGCAUGCUGGAGGUAUCAGAAGUGCGAAUGCUGACAUAAGUAACGAUAAAGCGGGUGAAAAGCCCGCUCGCCGGAAGACCAAGGGUUCCUGUCCAACGUUAAUCGGGGCAGGGUGAGUCGACCCCUAAGGCGAGGCCGAAAGGCGUAGUCGAUGGGAAACAGGUUAAUAUUCCUGUACUUGGUGUUACUGCGAAGGGGGGACGGAGAAGGCUAUGUUGGCCGGGCGACGGUUGUCCCGGUUUAAGCGUGUAGGCUGGUUUUCCAGGCAAAUCCGGAAAAUCAAGGCUGAGGCGUGAUGACGAGGCACUACGGUGCUGAAGCAACAAAUGCCCUGCUUCCAGGAAAAGCCUCUAAGCAUCAGGUAACAUCAAAUCGUACCCCAAACCGACACAGGUGGUCAGGUAGAGAAUACCAAGGCGCUUGAGAGAACUCGGGUGAAGGAACUAGGCAAAAUGGUGCCGUAACUUCGGGAGAAGGCACGCUGAUAUGUAGGUGAAGUCCCUCGCGGAUGGAGCUGAAAUCAGUCGAAGAUACCAGCUGGCUGCAACUGUUUAUUAAAAACACAGCACUGUGCAAACACGAAAGUGGACGUAUACGGUGUGACGCCUGCCCGGUGCCGGAAGGUUAAUUGAUGGGGUUAGCGCAAGCGAAGCUCUUGAUCGAAGCCCCGGUAAACGGCGGCCGUAACUAUAACGGUCCUAAGGUAGCGAAAUUCCUUGUCGGGUAAGUUCCGACCUGCACGAAUGGCGUAAUGAUGGCCAGGCUGUCUCCACCCGAGACUCAGUGAAAUUGAACUCGCUGUGAAGAUGCAGUGUACCCGCGGCAAGACGGAAAGACCCCGUGAACCUUUACUAUAGCUUGACACUGAACAUUGAGCCUUGAUGUGUAGGAUAGGUGG